AGAGAGAGAGAGAGAGAGAAAGAGAGAGAGAGAGAGAGAGAAUAUGAAUCCCCAAGCAGGCUCCACACUCAGUGGAGAGCCUGAUGGUCUUGAUCCCAUGACCCUGGGAUCAUGACCUGAGCAGAAAUCGAGAGUUGGAUGCUCAAACAUCCAACUGAGCCACCCAGGUGUCCCCCAAACAUUUAAUUUUUAAAAUUAGUCUUUCAUGUAAUUAAAAAAUAUUUGAGAGCCUAAUAUAUGCCAACUACAAUUAUAAAUGGUGAGGUUAUGGCAGUAAUCAAAACAGACAAAAAUCUCUGUCCUCGUGGAGCUUAUCUGGUAGAAAAUUACUUUUGGUGGAAAAUGAUUAUUAAUUUCAAUAGCUUCUUAACUGACUUCCCUGCUUUUGCCCUUGUCUUCCAUUCUGAUCACUGAUUCUAAGGUAAUCCUUUAAAAAGGAAAGUCAGAUGAUGUCAUGCUUCUGCUUAAAUUUCUCUGGCAUAUCAUCUCAGGAAAAAAAUAAAAAUAAAAAAGCCUGUCCUUAAAGUGGUUUUCAAGACCUUAAACAAUCUGGUUGUGCUCUCUGGCUUCAUUUCUCACUACUGUCCUGCUUUUGCUGCUUCAGUCUCAUUGGCUUCUUUGCUAUUCUUUGAGCACAUCAGACAUAGGCCUGCUCCAGGACAUUGGUACUUGCAGUAUUAUCUGCCCUGAGGCUUAUCCCCAAGAGAUAUGCAUGGCCUGCUACCAUCCCUACUUCAGGUCUUUACUCAAAUGUUACUAUCUCAGUUACUAUCUCAUCCAAUUAAAAAUUACAUCUCUUAAUUUUAAGUCCCCCAGUACUCUUCAGAUCCUUUCCCUACCUACUUUUCUCCAUAGCACUUAGUAUUCCUUGACAUAAUCCAUAUUUCACAUUUACCGUCUAUCUCCUCCAUUAUAAUAGAAGUUCCAUAAAGGCAGGGUAUUUUCUUUGUUGCUUUUUUUUUCCCACUACUAUAAAACCAGUGCUUGGCUAUACAUCCUUAACCAUUUUUAUACAUCUAGUUUAGAACCAUGGUAUAUUAGAACUGGACGUGACUUUACAGAUCUUCUAGUCCUGUCUUUGUCAACACGCACUACAGAUAAUCCAGGUAGGAAAUGAUAAUUGCUUUUAUAUCUAUUACUAAGAACUGCUUCUUCCAGCUAGAUGACCAUCAGUAAUUGCACUCUGUUGUUUCCCUACUGACCUAACGUGCCAUAGAUUAUCCACCCGCAAUCAUCUGGCAUGCCGGUGGCAAACAGGCAAAUGAGGAAACUGAGAAGUGAAGUGACUUGUUUAGUUACACAGUGAGACAGUUGUAGGACUGGGACUCACUUCUAAAUCUCCUGCCCUAUGGUACAGCACUCCUCCUUCCUUAUGCCCUACUGCUCCUCAAGAGUUUGCAACGCCGAACUGCUAGCUUCAAUUACUUUCUAAAAUACGAGUUAUUUUCUACAACACAAGGUGAGGUCAUGAAAUGGAGACCCAGAAUAACAAAGUUAUAUUAAGAAAACUUCCCCAACUAAAAAAUCUCAAAAAACUGCAUACAAUCAAUAAAAUUUGGGGGUUUCAAGUGUGGAUCCACAAGUACUAGAAUUAUGUCUAUCAGACAUUUGGUACAAAUGUUUUGGUAUCAUUUGUUUAUAAUAUCAUUAAGUUCAAGGGGUGAGGAAAUGGCGAUUUUAAUAAAGACAUGUUGAGUGGAUAACACUGAGGACAGAGAGGGGAGGGGAAAGACUUGGAGCCAGGUACCAGAGAGAUGCUUCCUGACUCUUCAGGAAUGGACUGAAACUCCUCUAAGCACCACCCCAUGCCACGAAAAGCCAUAGCCAGGGGAUGGCAUACGUUUCUGCUGCUAGAAUUACAUUAUAUUAAUUAUGGGAGACACCAUCCUUAGGUCCUUUAUAACAUCCGUAGGGAUAACUUGAUGAUCAUUUCAGAAUCAUUGUUCUAAGUCUCCACUAAGCCAUCCAUCAUCAUAAAUGAGCUUAUAUAACAAACACACUUUACAGAGAACUACACUAGGCAUAAAUAAUGGGGAAAUACUCAGCUUUGGUGCAAAGGAACAAAUAAGCAAUAUGUACACAUGUUAUACCUUGACAGGCUAGGUGACCUAAAACUGGUAAUUUUUUAGUAGGAGCUUCUUGAUUACCUUAGUUUUAUGGAAAUGUUGUGGUUUUACUCCUAGUCAAUAAUUACUUUAUUGUGGAAGCACAAACAUGCAAAAAUAAAAUAUGACCCUUGACCUCAUGGAGGAUAAAAUACAGCAACAACAAAAAACACAACCUGCAAAACACCAUACAAGUAAUUAUAAACUCAAUUUUAGAAAAUGGGUCACAAAAAUAGAUCUUAGAUUUAUGAACAUAAAAAGGGAUAGUUAAAAUCACGGAAGUGGCUCCAGAAAGUGGUCUCCUGACUACUAUGUCCAGUGAUUUUCCCAUGCUACCUCUUGCCUGCACUUUUUCUUUGUUUCAUGGUCCCUAGAUCCUUGGCCCUACUUCCUAAAUAUGCAGGCUGGGGCCCAGGAACAAACAUUUCAAAGAUAAGAACUAGUGCUUUGGAUUUGGUCAGGCUUCAUCCUCUCACCUUGUGAAUUUCCAGUCUUUGAUAAAACACAGCAUUUAUUUUCUCUAUUCUUUAUCAUUGGCAAUAGAUACAAAGCAUUUUAGGAGAAACUUGGGAAUACUGGCAGGGUAUUUCCACCACAAAUUACUACUCCUUCUUCAUUUAAAGAAACAGCCCAGGGAUGUGUAUAAAACACAGCAGCCCAGACACUUCUCCCAUUUGACCCUGACCAUCUUCCAGUCACCCCAUCCCACCGCUGACAAGUUCUACGCCCUAGACAUUCUGAACUCCAUCUAUCAGGCCUCUCCUCCUAUCUCUAUUCCUGUCCAGUUUAGAAUUUAUGGUCUAUUAAUUGAAGCCUUUUCUAUAUCACCCUUCUGUCCCAUCUGUAGGCAUGGAGGUAGGUGACUGGUUGCUCAGGGCAAUCUUCUUUUUUUUUUUAUGUUAUUUAUUUCUAUUUAUUUUUUAUAUAAUUUAUUGUCGAAUUGGUUUCCAUACAACACCCAGUGCUCAUCCCAACAGGUGUCCUCCUCAAUGCCCAUCACCCACUUCCCCCCCCCCCCAUCAACCCUCAGUUUGUUGUCAGUAUUUAAGAGUCUCUUACAGUUUGCCUCCUUCCCUCUCUGUGACUUAUUUUCCCCCUUCCCCUCCCCCAUGAUCUUCUGUUAAGUUUCUCAGGAUCCAGAUAUGAGUGAAAACAUAUGAUAUCUUUCUCUGCCUGACUUAUUUCGCUUAGCAUAAUACUCUCCAGUUCCAUCCAUGUUUCAGAGCAAUCUUCUAAACACAGUUCCCAGUAUAAAGCCAGUUACUCAAUCUCGGUAGUGCCUCAGGCCUCCCUGGCAUUUUCUCAAGUUGCUCCUAGUCAGUCACUCUCAGUUUCACUACAGCACCUCUUUCAAUUUCUCUUUGAUGUCCUCAAACCUCCCAAUCUGCCAUUUCCAACCUUCAUUCUCAAUAUGUGGCCACAGUUCCUAUUCAGUAGCCUCAAUGCAGAACUUCUCCCUAUCUUCCCACCACCAUCAAACCAAUAAUUAGAAUAUUAUCCAACUCCUGUCUGUUCAUUUCACCUUGCAUCUUCCUCACCAUCUAAUAAAUACCAUCUUACACUUUCUGAUCUACCCUUUUUUCCUCUUUUUCAGUCUAGUCUAGCCGUCAUCACCUUUGGCCCAUUUGACUGCAUUGCUUGUCUAUCCCCAGCCUGGCCUCUCUGCAGUCCUCUCCCCAUACCAUGCCGCGAAUGUGCUCCUACCAUUAAAAUCUGACCGUGGGACCCCCCCCUGCUUAUAAUCCUUUAGUCACUUGCUUGAGGACAGAGUUCAAACUCCUUACUGGAUUAGCAAGGCUCCUCCCUACCACACCCACAUCUCCCUCCGUACCAACCUUCCAGCUCCAGCCCUCUAAUCACUGUUCAGGUGCAAUAAAGUUGUAACUCCUUCUUAACUUCCAUUUCCUCUCCAUCCACUAAUUCUUUAAUCUCUUGUAAUACUUUUCUCACAUUCUUUAACAUUCAGUCUCUAUCAACAAAACCCAACAUCUGGCAACCUUCUUCUUCCCCAGCUUCUGUGAUGACACAGAACUCUGUGUCUAGGUCUUCUGUGUCUGUCUCUACUGUUCUUCCUCUUCUUAUACCCUCCACACUGCAGAUGCUCAUCAAAUACUUAAUGAUUUUUAUACCAGAGAACUUUUUUUUUAAAGGAAAAUGUAAUCUAUUCAUUCACAAAUAAACUUAAGAACAUAUUAUACAUGCCAGAGCCUAUUCUAGGUCCUGGGGACAUAUCAAUGUACAAGAUAAAGUCCUUGCCUUCCUGGAGCUUGUGCUGUACUGUAGGGGACACUUAGAAUGUAAACAAAUAAAUACAUAAUAAAUCAUCAAUGCUAUUAAGAAAAAUAAAGUAGGUAAAGGGAUAACGAACUACAAAUGAAGUAAGGGAAUAAGCCGUGGGAAAAUCUCGGAGUGGAGACAGUGAAGGAGUAAACAGCACGUGCAAAGGCUCCAUGGUAGGAACAAACUUGACUCAUCUGAGAACAGCAAGGAGACUCGUGUGACUAGAAGAAGUAGGAAAGGUGACUAGGAGUCAUGUAGGAUCUUACACACCAUCAAGGAUCGGCUUUGGGUGCUGUUCCAAGUGUAAUGGUACCAUGGAUUGAAUACGUGUGUCCCCACAAAAUUCAUACGUUAAAUCCUAACACCCGAUGUGAUGGUAUUUGGAAGUGGGGCUUUUAGGAGAUAAUUAGUUCUGCCCUCAUGAAUGGGAGUAGUGUCCUUAUGAAAGAGACCCUAGAGAGCAACUUACCCCUUUCUGCUAUAUGAAGACAUGGGGUGGGGUGGGGAUGGAAAGGAAGCCAUGUAUGAACCAGGAGGCUGGACUUCACCAAACAACAAAUCUGCCAAUGCUUUGAUCUUGGACUUCCUAGCCUCCAGAACUGUGAGGAAUACAUUUCUGUUGUUUAUAAGCCACCUAGUCUAUGGUAGUCCAUCAUAACAGCCCCAAUGGACUCAGACAGAUAGGAUAUUCUUGGAGGCUUUUCAGCGGGAAAUUGUUAGAAUUUGAUUUCUGUUUAAAAUGGGCCACUCCUGCUGCUGUGUGUGUGGAGAAGAGAGCGUAGGGAGAGGAGGACGACAACGGGGAGGCCAGGUAGGGGGCAUUUGCAAUAGUCUAUAUGUGAGAGGAAAGCAAACCUGGACUAGGGUAAAGUAGUCCACUGGAAUUGAAAACAACCGGAGAGAUUUUGGUUCUUUUAAAGAUAGAACCACUGUGAUGUGCUGGUGGAAGGGGAUGAGAGGGAAAUGAAGGAAUACAUACAAUUCCCAGGUUUUGGGUGAGCAUGGGUUGGAGGUUGGUGUCAUUUUAUUUAUAGAUGGAAGCAGAGAGAAAGCAGAGCAGUUUUCAGAAGAAAAUCGAGAAAGUGGCUUUGGACAUGGCAAGUCAGAGUCUUGUGGAUUUCCAAGUGAUGGUUAGGCAGCUAAGAUACAUGAGUUGAGACCUCAGAAAAGGAGAAUCCAAGACCAGAGAUACACAUUUGGGAGUCAUGCACUUAGAAAUGAAAUUUAAAGCCCCAGGACUUGUAAGGUCACUUGUGAGAGGUCAUAGAGCCUGGCUGUCUAAGAUUUAAAUAAGGAAUGUCUGCAGCUUGGCAAACGGCUGGUUGAGAAGCAGCAAAGCAGACCAGGAAAACUGGGUCUCCUUUGAAAUGUCAAGGCUAAGGACAGCCUGACCUUGCCUGUGGUCAACACAUUUUCCCACUCUGUAAAUGCUUAAUCUAAAGUAGUCAAACAACGCCCUUCUUAUGACGUAUACACUGCCCCUGUGACGUAUGCCUGCACAUCAUUACCCUGAUUAUACUGUUUCCCCAAUAAUUCUUGAGUAUGCUUUGUUGCCGCUUUUGAAACUACACAUUCCUUUCCCCUGCACCCCUUGAAAUGUACUGGAGAAGAGCUUUACUUGGGGCCAUUGCCACUAGAGCGCUUGGCCCCCUUGUCCUCUCCUUUCUCUGAUUCAAAAAUCUGGAGUAAUCUGUCAUUCGCUGCCCCUGGAGUUUGCUGGUCAAACCCAGCAGUCACCUAGGGGAAGAGAAAAGAAAAGGUCUAAGGAUUGAGUCCUGGACCAUGCAAACAUUUGGCAGUCAGGAAGAGGACAACGAGCGAAUGAAAAAGAUGGAGAAGAAACAGCCAGUGGAAGUAGGAUAUUAUGUAAUGGGGUAUUCUGGAAAGCCAGAAAAAAAGGUGAAGCAGUUACAACUCAAAGAUAUUUAAGGAACUCACCCUAGGUUGCAGAGCUAUGAAAAUCAUGCGGUCAAGAUUACAACCUAGGACUGCUUGACUGCAAAACUGAAGCCUCUUCCUAUUUCUUAAUUGGUACCUUUAAAGAAAGGCCAUUUCUUCUUAAAUAUAACCUCAUUUACAAGGGGAAAUAACACCUUUCUCAUCCCUUA